AUUGAACGCUGGCGGCAGGCUUAACACAUGCAAGUCGAGCUAGGGGCGGACGGGUGAGUAAUGUCUUGGCAACUGCCUGAUGGAGGGGGAUAACUACUGGAAACGGUAGCUAAUACCGCCUACCAUCGGAUGUGCCCACAUGGGAUUGGCUAGUUGGUGGGGUACUGGCUCACCUGGGCGACGCUCCCUAGCUGGUCUGAGAGGGUGACCUGAAGGACGGGAACGUAGACGCGGCCCAGACCCGUACGGGAGGUAGCAGUGGGGAAUAUUUCAUAAUGGGGGCAAGCGUGAUGCAGCCAUGCGGCGUGUCUGAAUAAGGCCUGCGGGUUGUAAAGCAUUUUGAGCGAGGAUGUGAUAGCCGCAGAAGAAACACAGGCUAACUCCGUUCCAGCCGCCGCGGUAAUAC
rnacentral:rRNA from 1 species